rnacentral:rRNA from 1 species
GAUGAACGCUGGCGGCGUGCUUAACACAUGCAAGUCGAACGAUGAAGCCCAGCUUGCUGGGUGGAUUAGUGGCGAACGGGUGAGUAACACGUGAGUAACCUGCCCUUAACUCUGGGAUAAGCCUGGGAAACUGGGUCUAAUACCGGAUAGGAGCGUCCACCGCAUGGUGGGUGUUGGAAAGAUUUAUCGGUGUUGGAUGGACUCGCGGCCUAUCAGCUUGUUGGUGAGGUAAUGGCUCACCAAGGCGACGACGGGUAGCCGGCCUGAGAGGGUGACCGGCCACACUGGGACUGAGACACGGCCCAGACUCCUACGGGAGGCAGCAGUGGGGAAUAUUGCACAAUGGGCGCAAGCCUGAUGCAGCGACGCCGCGUGAGGGAUGACGGCCUUCGGGUUGUAAACCUCUUUCAGUAGGGAAGAAGCGAAAGUGACGGUACCUGCAGAAGAAGCACCGGCUAACUACGUG